rnacentral:rRNA from 1 species
CGCGAAAGUCACCUUCGGGUGGCGAGUAGAGCGGCGCACGGGUGAGUAACACGUGGGUAAUCUACCUUGGAGUCUGGGAUAACCCGGGGAAACCCGGGCUAAUACCGGAUACGGCCUUACGGUCCACGGACCGUUUGGCGAAAGCGGGCCACUGCUUGCAUGCUCGCGCUCUCUGAUGAGCCCGCGGCGCAUUAGCUUGUUGGUGAGGUAAUGGCUCACCAAGGCUUUGAUGCGUAGCUGGUCUGAGAGGAUGGUCAGCCACACUGGAACUGAGACACGGUCCAGACUCCUACGGGAGGCAGCAGUGGGGAAUUUUGGUCAAUGGGCGAAAGCCUGAACCAGCAACGCCGCGUGCAGGAUGAAGGCCCUCGGGUCGUAAACUGCUGUCAGGAGGGAAGAACGGCGGUCCGGUCAAUACCCGGGCCGCGUGACGGUACCUCCAAAGGAAGCACCGGCUAACUCCGUGCCAGCAGCCGCGGUAAUACGGAGGGUGCAAGCGUUGUUCGGAAUUACUGGGCGUAAAGCGCGUGUAGGCGGCUUGGUAAGUCGGAUGUGAAAGCCCGGAGCUCAACUCCGGAACGGCAUCCGAAACUGCCUCGCUAGAGUCCCGGAGAGGAAGGCAGAAUUCCCAGUGUAGGGGUGAAAUCCGUAGAUAUUGGGAGGAAUACCAGUGGCGAAGGCGGCCUUCUGGACGGUGACUGACGCUGAGACGCGAAAGCGUGGGGAGCAAACAGGAUUAGAU